UUAAUACAACUUUCAACAACGGAUCUCUUGGCUCUCGCAUCGAUGAAGAACGCAGCGAAAUGCGAUAAGUAAUGUGAAUUGCAGAAUUCAGUGAAUCAUCGAAUCUUUGAACGCACCUUGCGCUCCUUGGUAUUCCGAGGAGCAUGCCUGUUUGAGUGUCAUUUAAUUCUC
rnacentral:rRNA from 1 species